rnacentral:rRNA from 1 species
GGCCGCGGGAAUUCGAUUUUGGAGGGCAAGUCUGGUGCCAGCAGCCGCGGUAAUUCCAGCUCCAAUAGCGUAUAUUAAAGUUGUUGCAGUUAAAAAGCUCGUAGUUGAACCUUGGGUCUGGCUGGCCGGUCCGCCUCACCGCGAGUACUGGUCCGGCUGGACCUUUCCUUCUGGGGAACCCCAUGGCCUUCACUGGCUGUGGGGGGAACCAGGACUUUUACUGUGAAAAAAUUAGAGUGUUCAAAGCAGGCCUUUGCUCGAAUACAUUAGCAUGGAAUAAUAGAAUAGGACGUGCGGUUCUAUUUUGUUGGUUUCUAGGACCGCCGUAAUGAUUAAUAGGGAUAGUCGGGGGCGUCAGUAUUCAGCUGUCAGAGGUGAAAUUCUUGGAUUUGCUGAAGACUAACUACUGCGAAAGCAUUCGCCAAGGAUGUUUUCAUUAAUCAGGGAACGAAAGUUAGGGGAUCGAAGACGAUCAGAUACCGUCGUAGUCUUAACCAUAAACUAUGCCGACUAGGGAUCGGAUGAUGUUAAUUUUUUAAUGACUCAUUCGGCGCCUUACGGGAAACAAUCACUA